GAUGAACGCUGGCGGCGUGCCUAAUACAUGCAAGUCGAGCGAACGGACGAGAAGCUUGCUUCUCUGAUGUUAGCGGCGGACGGGUGAGUAACACGUGGAUAACCUACCUAUAAGACUGGGAUAACUUCGGGAAACCGGAGCUAAUACCGGAUAAUAUUUUGAACCGCAUGGUUCAAAAGUGAAAGACGGUCUUGCUGUCACUUAUAGAUGGAUCUGCGCUGCAUUAGCUAGUUGGUAAGGUAACGGCUUACCAAGGCAACGAUGCAUAGCCGACCUGAGAGGGUGAUCGGCCACACUGGAACUGAGACACGGUCCAGACUCCUACGGGAGGCAGCAGUAGGGAAUCUUCCGCAAUGGGCGAAAGCCUGACGGAGCAACGCCGCGUGAGUGAUGAAGGUCUUCGGAUCGUAAAACUCUGUUAUUAGGGAAGAACAUAUGUGUAAGUAACUGUGCUCAUCUUGACGGUACCUAAUCAGAAAGCCACGGCUAACUACGUG
rnacentral:rRNA from 1 species